rnacentral:rRNA from 1 species
UACAAGUGACCCCGGUCUAACCACCGGGAUGUUCAUAACCCUUUGUUGUCCGACUCUGUUGCCUCCGGGGCGACCCUGCCUUCGGGCGGGGGCUCCGGGUGGACACUUCAAACUCUUGCGUAACUUUGCAGUCUGAGUAAACUUAAUUAAUAAAUUAAAACUUUUAACAACGGAUCUCUUGGUUCUGGCAUCGAUGAAGAACGCAGCGAAAUGCGAUAAGUAAUGUGAAUUGCAGAAUUCAGUGAAUCAUCGAAUCUUUGAACGCACAUUGCGCCCCCUGGUAUUCCGGGGGGCAUGCCUGUUCGAGCGUCAUUUCACCACUCAAGCCUCGCUUGGUAUUGGGCAACGCGGUCCGCCGCGUGCCUCAAAUCGACCGGCUGGGUCUUCUGUCCCCUAAGCGUUGUGGAAACUAUUCGCUAAAGGGUGUUCGGGAGGCUACGCCGUAAAACAACCCCAUUUCUAAGGUUGACCUCGGAUCAGGUAGGGAUACCCGCUGAACUUAAGCAUAUCAAUAAGCGGAGGAAAAGAAACCAACAGGGAUUGCUCUAGUAACGGCGAGUGAAGCAGCAAUAGCUCAAAUUUGAAAUCUGGCGUCUUCGACGUCCGAGUUGUAAUUUGUAGAGGAUGCUUCUGAGUAACCACCGACCUAAGUUCCUUGGAACAGGACGUCAUAGAGGGUGAGAAUCCCGUAUGCGGUCGGAAAGGUGCUCUAUACGUAGCUCCUUCGACGAGUCGAGUUGUUUGGGAAUGCAGCUCUAAAUGGGAGGUAAAUUUCUUCUAAAGCUAAA